rnacentral:rRNA from 1 species
GACGAACGCUGGCGGCGUGCCUAAUACAUGCAAGUCGAACGCAGUGGGGACGGGGGAGUAACACGUGGGUAACCUCCCAUCAGAGGGGAUAACACUUGGAAACAGGUGCUAAACCGAUACAGAUGGAUGUACCAGCGGUGCUGUAGCUAGUUGGUGCGGUAAAGGCCCCGCAAGGCCACGAUGCCGAGCAGACAUGAGAUGGGGAUCUGCCACACUGGGACUGGGACACGGCCCAGACUCCUACGGGAGGCCGCGGUAGGGAAUCUUCGGCAAUGGACGGAAGUCUGACCAAGCAACUCCGCGUUAGUGAAGAAGGUUUUCGGAUCGUAAAGCUCUGUUGUUAGAGAAACGGUAACUAACCAGAAAGGGACGGCUAACUACGUGCCAGCAGCCGCGGUAAUUC